rnacentral:rRNA from 1 species
CUUGGUGACAAUAGCAUUGUGGUCCCACCUGAUCCCAUCCCGAACUCAGAAGUGAAACGCAAUCGCGCCGAUGGUAGUGUGGGGUCUC